AAAGGGAAUAGGAAAGGAGAGGCCUGGGUCUUUGGCUGGGCUGCCCCUGAAGGAGGGGGCCAGGGACCCCAGCGGGUGGAAGACAGCCCAGGUUUGGAGGGGCAGCUGGAAAAGCGGUUUUCGGACGCUGUGUUGAAUGUCCGAGGGAAACGUGCGUGGGCAAUGAAGCAAUUCCUUUUACCCCAUCCGCUCCUGGGUCGCCUGGUUCUUCUCUAACAGCUGCCACUAUAGAGGGAUGAUUGUCGCUGACAAAGUCUCGUCCAAGGAGAUGCUGAGGAUAAGCGAUGUGGAAAACUAGAAAUCGUUUCUAACCCGACUUCUCGAGACCCUCCUGAAACCAAUGCCCUGCCGUUUGCAAACAGUCUUCUUAGCUAAACACCACCACUUCAUGGGAACCCCAAGAACGGGGAGGUUUUUUAACCAGGCAAUAUUUUCACUUUCAUUUUCACUCAACAAAAUUACUUGUCGAAGUCGAGGUGUCCCAGAGCUCAAACGUUUCGCCAUCGUUUCUCCCUGGCUGUGAGUUGGCCAAGGUCUGGUUUGGGGGCGCAGAAUGGAUCCGAGGAAGAAAUUUUUUGAAACAUGGAAAGAUCAAUUUGGCAUUGUCUCGACAUCGGUUUGCGCACUGAUUUUGGUAGCGUUUGAAAAAAUUAUGGAGACGGAAUUUAGAUGCCCCGAAGAGGCGAGCUGGAGGGUCUAUUACAGUCUCUCCUAUUUUCUUAUUCCAGCUGUUGUUUUGUUUCUGCUGACCGUGGUUUUCCUGCCUAUUGUGGGCCAAAAACGUAACCUAAGAGCUUCUUGUCGGGCUUUGAUGAAAGCUCUUGGGCCCUCGCUGAUAUGGAUGACCCUUCUUCUCCUGGAUGGACGAUACUUUACUUGCACGUGUAAAAAUUUUCUAAACAUAACCACCCUGACCUGUGAUGAGGAGCAGCCCAUCAAGUGUUAUGUAAUAUCGCAGGUAUCUGGACUCGUCUUCUUUUUCGUGAUUGCUGUGGGAUUUUUCGCAGAGAAGAAAUGCCUGCCUCUGUGCUGUCCUGUCGAAGACGACAGCGACAAGGCCCAAGAAGGCAUUGUCAUGGAGUCGCUUUG